UCCAGGGUAGCCUAGUGGACAUGGCAUCUGCCCGGUAAGCUGAACAUUGUGGGUUCGAUUCCCAUCCCUGGAA